ACAAUUUACGUCUUUUCUAAGCAUCAAUAUUGUAUCUAUUCACUGACCACAUUAUCGCAUUUAGAAAUAUUUAGAUGUAAACCAGUGCACUACGAUGUUUUCUAUGUUUACGUGUGUGUGUGGGGGGGUGUUUUGUGUGUAUGAGUUGGCAAUGUGUUAGUUUUUACUAAUUGUAUUAGUUUUACUAAUUGUAUUAACUGAAAAUACCACAGUAGUUAAUAUAAAUACUGUGUCA